rnacentral:rRNA from 1 species
GACAGAGGGUGCAAACGUUGUUCGGAAUUACUGGACGUAAAGCGCGUGUAGGCUGCUCGGAAAGUCGGAUGUGAAAGCCCUGGGCUCAACCUAGGAAGUGCAUUCGAAACUUCCGAGCUGGAGUGCUGGAGAGGAAGGCGGAAUUCUCGGUGUAGAGGUGAAAUUCGUAGAUAUCGAGAGGAACACCGGUGGCGAAGGCGGCCUUCUGGACAGCCACUGACGCUGAGACGCGAAAGCGUGGGGAGCAAACAGG